GCCUACGGGGCGCAGCAGUAGGGAAUCUUCCACAAUGGGCGAAAGCCUGAUUGAGCAACGCCGCGUGGGUGAAGAAGGUCUUCGGAUCGUAAAACCCUGUUGUUAGAGAAGAAAGUGCGUGAGAGUAACUGUUCACGUUUCGACGGUAUCUAACCAGAAAGCCACGGCUAACUACGUGCCAGCAGCCGCGGUAAUACGUAGGUGGCAAGCGUUAUCCGGAUUUAUUGGGCGUAAAGGGAACGCAGGCGGUCUUUUAAGUCUUAUGUGAAAGCCUUCGGCUUAACCGGAGUAGUGCAUUGGAAACU
rnacentral:rRNA from 1 species